rnacentral:misc_RNA from 1 species
AGCUCGGUCUUGGCUUGAGUCUUGGUGGGUUCAAGGCUCAACAAACAGCGGUCAAGACUAAAUAUGCUAGAAUUUUGACUGCUAAGGAUUUGCCUUCUGGUGUUUCUACUUCUUCUUCUUGUACUUCAUCGUCUUCUUCCACGUUGAGUAGAGCUAACGCCACGGCUGGGACCAAGAGGAGGUGCUGAUUCUGUCUCUGCCCCUAAUGGUGCUUCCAGUCAAGUUGUUGGUUGGCCUCCAAUAAGAGCUUAUAGAAUGAACAGCAUGGUUAAUCAGGCAAAGUCAGUGGCCACUGAAGAAUAUAACUCAGUAAUUGGAAAAAAUAAAAAUAAUACUGCUGUGCUGGAUAAGACUAACAAUGGAAGCAACAUGAACAGCAAUAAUUUCAAGGUCAGGACUUCCUUCUUUGUUAAGGUGAAUAUGGAUGGGAUUGCCAUAGGAAGAAAGGUUGAUCUUAAUGCUUCUGGGUGCUAUGAAGCCUUAGCCCAAACCUUGGAAGAUAUGUUCCUUCGACCCAUCCCAACCAUUAAUGCAAUGCGAUCAAGUGCACCAGAGCAUAAUCUAAUGGUAGAUGCAACAAGAUGCCCAAAAUUGCUGGAUGGUUCAUCUGAGUUUGUG